GAUGAACGCUGGCGGCGUGCCUAAUACAUGCAAGUCGAGCGAACGGACGAGAAGCUUGCUUCUCUGAUGUUAGCGGCGGACGGGUGAGUAACACGUGGAUAACCUACCUAUAAGACUGGGAUAACUUCGGGAAACCGGAGCUAAUACCGGAUGAUAUUUUGAACCGCAUGGUUCAAAAGUGAAAGACGGUCUUGCUGUCACUUAUAGAUGGAUCCGCGCUGCAUUAGCUAGUUGGUAAGGUAACGGCUUACCAAGGCAACGAUGCAUAGCCGACCUGAGAGGGUGAUCAGCCACACUGGAACUGAGACACGGUCCAGACUCCUACGGGAGGCAGCAGUAGGGAAUCUUCCGCAAUGGGCGCAAGCCUGACGGAGCAACGCCGCGUGAGUGAUGAAGGUCUUCGGAUCGUAAAACUCUGUUAUUAGGGAAGAACAUAUGUGUAAGUAACUGUGCACAUCUUGACGGUACCUAAUCAGAAAGCCACGGCUAACUACGUG
rnacentral:rRNA from 1 species